rnacentral:lncRNA from 1 species
AGGCCAGUGUUCUUGGAUGGCACCCAUUGUUAAUGGAAUAAUAUUAUGGAAAGAAGUGAACCAUUUCUGUUUCCUUGUUAAUAAGGCAUCAUCCUUCUCCUGCAGACCCGUCUGUAAUGUGCUCAGGGAGAUGCGUCAUUUGAGGAACUCCAUGCAUUCAGCAGACCCUCUUGACAAUCAUCUGCAGGGUUGAGAAAAAGAAGCGUGCCCAGGAAAGGGCCACCAUCUUGAUUUUAGAGCAGAUUUCCAAAGGACUGGGAACACGGUGGAAAAGCAUCUGAGAACAGAGACUCUGACAGAGAAGUCUUGCCAAGGAGCCAGUAGUUCAGCAGGUUUGCCUCCCCUAUCAACUUGUGAUUUCUUGUUCAAGACUCAUCCUGAGUUAACAGGGAUUAUGACUUUAUCACAGCCAGCACAUGCCCUCUGUCAGCAAGCUUCAGCUGAGAAAAGACCUGCCCUGGAUGGUUGGAAUGUAAAAGUAAACAUUUCCACAAAGCUCCAAAACAUAGCCACUCCCAAACCAAGGGAAA